GGAGGGGUUCCCGAGUGGCCAAAGGGAACAGACUGUAAAUCUGUCGUCAUCGACUUCGGUGGUUCAAAUCCACCCCCCUCCACCA
rnacentral:tRNA from 1 species